AUUGAACGCUGGCGGCAGGCCUAACACAUGCAAGCCGAACGGUAACAGGAAACAGCUUGCUGUUUCGCUGACGAGUGGCGGACGGGUGAGUAAUGUCUGGGAAACUGCCUGAUGGAGGGGGAUAACUACUGGAAACGGUAGCUAAUACCGCAUAACGUCGCAAGACCAAAGAGGGGGACCCUCGGGCCUCUUGCCAUCGGAUGUGCCCAGAUGGGAUUAGCUUGUUGGUGGGGUAACGGCUCACCAAGGCGACGAUCCCUAGCUGGUCUGAGAGGAUGACCAGCCACACUGGAACUGAGACACGGUCCAGACUCCUACGGGAGGCAGCAGUGGGGAAUAUUGCACAAUGGGCGCAAGCCUGAUGCAGCCAUGCCGCGUGUAUGAAGAAGGCCUUCGGGUUGUAAAGUACUUUCAGCGGGGAGGAAGGGAGUAAAGUUAAUACCUUUGCUCAUUGACGUUACCCGCAGAAGAAGCACCGGCUAACUCCGUG
rnacentral:rRNA from 1 species